GACGAACGCUGGCGGCGUGCCUAAUACAUGCAAGUUGAGCGCUGAAGGUUGGUACUUGUACCAACUGGAUGAGCAGCGAACGGGUGAGUAACGCGUGGGGAAUCUGCCUUUGAGCGGGGGACAACAUUUGGAAACGAAUGCUAAUACCGCAUAAAAACUUUAAACACAAGUUUUAAGUUUGAAAGAUGCAAUUGCAUCACUCAAAGAUGAUCCCGCGUUGUAUUAGCUAGUUGGUGAGGUAAAGGCUCACCAAGGCGAUGAUACAUAGCCGACCUGAGAGGGUGAUCGGCCACAUUGGGACUGAGACACGGCCCAAACUCCUACGGGAGGCAGCAGUAGGGAAUCUUCGGCAAUGGACGAAAGUCUGACCGAGCAACGCCGCGUGAGUGAAGAAGGUUUUCGGAUCGUAAAACUCUGUUGGUAGAGAAGAACGUUGGUGAGAGUGGAAAGCUCACCAAGUGACGGUAACUACCCAGAAAGGGACGGCUAACUACGUG
rnacentral:rRNA from 1 species